rnacentral:sRNA from 1 species
GUUUCUGGACACGCCCUCUUCAAAAGGACAGCCAGAGGUCCCUUCCUCUGAGGCUUUGGACGCUUGCCUGCUUCUAUUUCUCAGGAACAGAUAAGCCUAAUCCUUCGAGAGAAAGGCCUAAGCCCAUGAAUCAUUAAACAAUACGAAUACCACAGGGCAGUUAGUUUUCAGUUUAUAGGCACCGUCUACGUUUAGGGUCCUUGGAGGCCACAGGACAUGAGAUCCUCUGAUGGGUGGGAAGUUGUGAUGAGUUACUAAGAGAAGGUAUGGUGAGCUCUUAGUUCAGUACUUGGCUUAUAAUAAAUGCUCAAGGAGUGAGAAUUCAUGGUGCUGCGGUCGAAAGCUUACACAUGAGUUCUGAGAGUGAACAUCUCCAGCCCUCAAAAUUGUUGUCCUGUCCUACUCUGCUGUUACAACCUAGCCAUCGCAUGUUGACAAACUCCUAUCAGGAAUGCACAGCAGGCUUCACGUUAUGUUUCUGAGAUUUACUAUGUAGACCCUCGGAGACCACAUGUGUGGUAGUACACUGAGGAGGAUCAGGAAUCCAGUGUUAGCCUGAGCUAUGUAAGGAGAAACCUACUUCAAAGCAAACAAGGACCGGUGGGCGGAGCAACCUAAGUGCUUCGUUUUACUCUUUACUGGUCCAUAUUGCAGUUGUCGAGAAAAGUAAUCUGCAUUUCUUCUGGGUGUGAAAGAAAGGACUACAAACCAGAAGAACUUGCAAAGUCAUUGUGAGUCUCACCUUUUGUCUCAGGGGAUUGUGCAUGCCGGGCUUCCUCCUUAGGUAGCUGGAAGCUUUGUUUUGGGAGCCUUAACACUCCCUGUAUAAACAGAAGGAGUCACUAACACCCAGGGCCUCUCAGUUCUUUUCAUUUCCCUUGACAUUGGUAGGAUCUCAUAACACUGUUUAUGCUUUCCUUUCAAACCUAUUCCUCUCACUUGGCCGGAAACAAGCUCUGCCAUUCGGAAAGCCUAACUAACUCACAAGUUCUAAGUAUUUAGAUCAAAGGAGAAAAGAAAAGGAAAAAAAAAAAAAAAGACCCAUGGAGAAUUCAUUGCUGUAGAAAGAGAUAACACUUUCCACCCAGUUUUUGUUUGAGGAUUCUUGCUUUUGUUUUUGUUUGAGGAUUCUAGCUUUUGUUUUUGUUUUUGUUUGAGGAUUCUUGCUUUUGUUUUUGUUUUUGCUAUAUAUGAGAACAUCUGAGGAUUUAAAUUCCUUAAUGCAAAAAAAAUAUCAAAUAUGAGUCUUUUCUGACUGGCAUACGUGCUGGCUUGGAGCAGUGCCGCCUUUCUGUUUGGAGCCCUGACACCUUUCGCCUUCUCCGUUUCCUGUGUCCAGACUAGCCCAUUAAGAUUGUGACAUCUGAUCCCAGCCAGUGGGGAAAACACAAUCACCACCUUCCUCAGAAUAAAAGCCAGGAACUUCCUGCCCAGGUGUGUCUCUCUCCCCCAGCACACUCUAUUAUCAAGAGUAAACGGUUGUCCAGAUACUCAAUUGGAGCAAUGAUUUUUUUGUGUGUGUGACCCCGAACUUAUUUCUAGCAUUAGCAGGCUACCCGCUGUAUUUUCUUGUAAGGUAAAGUAGAUUGAAAGUCUCUAUUUUUAUUUUAACUCCCUCAAUUACUGUGGUUUUGUUUCCACGCCAAGGAGUCACUAAGUGACUUCAUCUUAAGGAUGUGCUCUGUGACAGAGGUAAACAAGUGCCGAGAAAUCAGUUUGGACUGAGGACAGGAGAGGCACAUGCCUUAAGCAUUGUACCCCUCAUUGGCAUGAACAAGAGUGUGUCUAACGAAGGACCAAAAGGAAGCUUUGGGUUUUGUGUCUGAGGCAUGAGUGUAAGGCACUACCUUACACUUGAGUAAGGUAGAAUUGACAAAACCGAGAAACUUACAAGACAUCUUUUCUUAAAAUACCACUCAGUAGAUAUUUCUCAUAUAUCUAGCAUGUGUCAGUUUGAGGACAUGCAGGCAAAUUCCCAGUUAGUGCACCCUGCUCCCUGUUCCGUUGUAACCUGCAGUCUAAUGGAGGAAGCCAAUGCCAGUGGUAGAACAGAAGCAAGGCAAAUUAUCCUGUGGUUGUUGUUACAAAGGGAAGCUACAGAUAUGUGAAACCCACAAGUGGCUAAUAAAAUUAAAGGAGGAAAAUGGCUUAAUCUGCAGUCCUACAAGAUGACUUUGGGCAUUAUCUCACACGGCUUAAGGAGAGCCACAAUGAAUAAAAGGCAAGAAGAUGUGUCGAAACAGUGUGUGAGCCUCCAUCUUGCCUUAGUUAGAAAGGAAACAAAAACACUGCCAUGACAAUGAUAACAAGCACUAAGACCAAAAAAAAGAGAUAGUCGUUCCCAAGGAUUGGGGAUUCAAAGGGAGAUUGGUGCAUUGGGACGAUGUGAGGGUUGGGAUUGAAAAGGGAAAUUUAUUAAUAACCCCACAGGUUUGAGUCUAACAAAACUGAUGCCAUUAAUGAACCCAUUGUCUAGUGCGGUCAUGUAAGAUUGGCUGGAGAGCUGCUGUGUUAUAAUAUUUGCAAGUAUUAAACUGGUAGGUGAUAGAGGAAAAGGAUAGAUAUACUACUUUUGUUUAGGCUGUACGGAUGGGUAGUUUGACUCUGAGAUAACACUUUGCUUAAAGUUGGGGUGUUCGUAUUGUUAUAAAUGGAUGCGUCUUAGUAGUUCUUACAUAAUUUCUUGGCCAGUUAAUUAGGAAUUUUAAGCUUCUAUUACUGGAUUAAUGUAGUGUUAUUAAUGUACUGUUUGGUUUAAGUUAUAUUUAUAGUAUAUAAAUCUUCAAAUAAUUGGGCAUCAAGUGAAAGGAGGUAGAUGUAUAACCAUCAAAGUAUUGACUAGUGCAAAAGAUACCUUUGUAUUAUUAAAGUAGCAUGUGAGGUCUUUAUGGUGUGGCUAUCAUGUAGGAACCUAGGGUCAUAACCAGUAUACUAAGUCCACCUAGGACAAUAGUGAUGCUACAUUGUCCCAUAGAUGAGAAGAAGGUAACCUGUGAUAGACAAACUGAUGGCUUUGACUAUGGCUUUGUUCAUCCUUUGCAAGACAAAGCAAGGAGAGCUUGUGACUGUGGGCUAUCAGGACUGUGGCUCCAGUAAAAUGCAGUGACGUUUGGCUAAGAACGACUGUAAUUAGCCGUAUAUGACUUGACAAGCUCACAAAGGGCGAUCUUAAGUCUAUGUGGUUUAGACAGGUAGUGCUUGGUAUCUGUGGAUCCUGGUGAUUGAACUUGCUGAUCAGAUUAUUAGAUGAGCAGCUUGGAAACUCAGGAGUAGCUUAUCAAGCAAUUUUAAGUUCAAUAUAGAUUAAAGCUGUGCGUAUUCAAUCAGUAUGCAAAACGGAAAAGGAAAAGGACGUCCCUACUAUUCAGCUUGGCUCCUUCAGUUGGUGAUAAUAAUUAAGUUGGAAUUAUGUUACCUUGAAGAAAAUAUAGAAUAGGAUUAGGUAUUUUGGCAAUAAAUGCCAUGAUUAAAAAUAUCCCUAAAAACUGGGUGUGGUGGCACAUAACUGAAUUCUCAUUUAGAGACAUGAAAAUGAGGUGUCCAAGGCCACCUUUGGCUAUGUGGUUAGUUUGAGUCCACCAGAAUCCAUGAGAUUCAAUUUCAAAGCACAAACAAGUCAGACACGGUGACCCAUGCCUUUAAUCCCAGCACUCAGGGGACAGAAGUCUAGGCUAACCUUGUCUACAAAUCCAUGAAGCAAGGGCUACACAGAGAAACCCUGUCUGAAAAAACAAACAAGCAAACAAACAAAUAAUACAAACAACACGCCUUAAAGCAACUAAUAUUUGCAGACUAAUUAAUAUUGAUUAAUAAUUAAUGUUGAGUAUUUGUCUUAUUGCUGUAACAAAAUGCUUAAAAUAAAGAAGAAGAAUUUCUGGGCAUAGUGGCUCAUCCAUUUAAUCUCAGCACUAGAGAGAUGGAGACAAUAGAUCUUUGAGUUCAAGGCCAGCCUGGUCUACAUAG